AGAAGUGAUUCCAUAUCUCCCUGCAACUCACAACUGGCAACCCACUGAAGCUAAGCAGGUGUGAGCCUGGUCAGUACCUGGAUGGGAGACCACCUGGGAAAAACUAAGAUUGCUGCUG
rnacentral:rRNA from 1 species